rnacentral:rRNA from 1 species
GACGAACGCUGGCGGCGUGCUUAACACAUGCAAGUCGAACGGAAAGGCCCUGCUUUUGUGGGGUGCUCGAGUGGCGAACGCGUGAGUAACACGUGAGUAACCUGCCCUUGUCUUUGGGGUAACUUCAGGAAACUGGGGCUAAUACCGGAUAGGAGCUCCUGCUGCAUGGUGGGGGUUGGAAAGUUUCGGCGGUUGGGGAUGGACUCGGGGCUUAUCAGCUUGUUGGUGGGGUAGUGGCUUACCAAGGCUUUGACGGGUAGCCCGCCUGAGAGGGUGACCGGCGACAAGGGGACUAAGAUACGGCCCAGACUCGAACGGGAGGCAGCAGGGGGAAAUCUUGCACAACGGGCGGAAGCGUGAGACAGCAACGCCGCGUGCGUGAUGACGUCCUUCGGGGUAUAAACCGCUUUCGCCUGAGACGAAGCGGGAGUGACGGUAAUGGGUAAAGAAGCACCGGCUAACUACGUG